AUUGAACGCUGGCGGCAUGCCUUACACAUGCAAGUCGAACGGAUUCAAGAGGCUUGCUUCUUGAGUUAGUGGCGAACGGGUGAGUAAAGCAUCGGAACGUACCCAGUUGUGGGGGAUAACGUAGCGAAAGUUACGCUAAUACCGCAUACGCACUGAGGUGGAAAGCGGGGGACCGAAAGGCCUCGCGCAAUUGUAGCGGCCGAUGUAGGAUUAGCUAGUUGGUGAGGUAAAGGCUCACCAAGGCAACGAUCCGUAGCUGGUCUGAGAGGACGACUAGCCACACUGGAACUGAGACACGGUCCAGACUCCUACGGGAGUAAGCAGUGGGGAAUGUUGGACAAUGGGCGAAAGCCUGAUCCAGCCAUGCCGCGUGAGUGAAGAAGGCCUUCGGGUUGUAAAGCUCUUUCAGACGGAAAGAAAUCUUUCGGGUGAAUAUCCCGGAAGGAUGACGGUACCGUAAGAAGAAGCACCGGCUAACUACGUGCCAGCCGCCGCCGUAAGAC
rnacentral:rRNA from 1 species